UACAGAGGGUGCGAGCGUUAAUCGGAAUUACUGGGCGUAAAGCGUGCGUAGACGGUCAAGUAAGUCGGGUGUGAAAGCCCCGGGCUCAACCUGGGAAUUGCAUUCGAGACUGCGUGGCUAGGGUGCGGAAGAGGGAAGCGGAAUUUCCGGUGUAGCGGUGAAAUGCGUAGAUAUCGGAAGGAACACCAGUGGCGAAAGCGGCUUCCUGGUCCAGCACCGACGUUCAGGCACGAAAGCGUGGGGAGCAAAAAGG
rnacentral:rRNA from 1 species